GACGAAGGUGGCAAGCGUUGUUCGGAUUCACUGGGCAUAAAGGGCGCGUAGGCGGUUCCGAAAGUGGCAUGUGAAAUCCCCCGGCUCAACCGGGGAAGUGCGUGCCAAACUUCGGUGCUAGAGUGCGGUAGGGGGGACUGGAACUCUCGGUGGAGCGGUGAAAUGCGUAGAUAUCGAGAGGAACACCGGUGGCGAAGGCGAGUCCCUGGUCCGCAACUGACGCUGAGGCGCGAAAGCGUGGGUAGCAAACAGG
rnacentral:rRNA from 1 species